UUACGAUCACAUCACCUUGAAACACAGGUUACCGUACGAUUACCGAAAUUAAGCAACGUCAAGCCUGGUUAGUACCUAAAUGGGUGACUGCAUGGAAAAACCAGUGGCUGUAA